GACGAACGCUGGCGGCGUGCCUAAUACAUGCAAGUUGAGCGAUGAAGAUUGGUGCUUGCACCAAUUUGAAGAGCAGCGAACGGGUGAGUAACGCGUGGGGAAUCUGCCUUUGAGCGGGGGACAACAUUUGGAAACGAAUGCUAAUACCGCAUAACAACUUUAAACAUAAGUUUUAAGUUUGAAAGAUGCAAUUGCAUCACUCAAAGAUGAUCCCGCGUUGUAUUAGCUAGUUGGUGAGGUAAAGGCUCACCAAGGCGAUGAUACAUAGCCGACCUGAGAGGGUGAUCGGCCACAUUGGGACUGAGACACGGCCCAAACUCCUACGGGAGGCAGCAGUAGGGAAUCUUCGGCAAUGGACGAAAGUCUGACCGAGCAACGCCGCGUGAGUGAAGAAGGGUUUCGGAUCGUAAAACUCUGUUGGUAGAGAAGAACGUUGGUGAGAGUGGAAAGCUCAUCAAGUGACGGUAACUACCCAGAAAGGGACGGCUAACUACGUGC
rnacentral:rRNA from 1 species